rnacentral:rRNA from 1 species
UUAAGCGACUAAGCGUACACGGUGGAUGCCCUGGCAGUCAGAGGCGAUGAAGGGCGUGCUAAUCUGCGAUAAGCGCCGGUAAGGUGAUAUGAACCGUUAUAACCGGCGAUACCCGAAUGGGGAAACCCAGUGUGAUUCGUCACACUAUCAUUAACUGAAUCCAUAGGUUAAUGAGGCGAACCGGGGGAACUGAAACAUCUAAGUACCCCGAGGAAAAGAAAUCAACCGAGAUUCCCCCAGUAGCGGCGAGCGAACGGGGAGGAGCCCAGAGCCUGAAUCAGCAUGUGUGUUAGUGGAAGCGUCUGGAAAGGCGCGCGAUACAGGGUGACAGCCCCGUACACAAAAGCGCAUGUGCUGUGAGCUCGAUGAGUAGGGCGGGACACGUGGUAUCCUGUCUGAAUAUGGGGGGACCAUCCUCCAAGGCUAAAUACUCCUGACUGACCGAUAGUGAACCAGUACCGUGAGGGAAAGGCGAAAAGAACCCCGGCGAGGGGAGUGAAAAAGAACCUGAAACCGUGUACGUACAAGCAGUGGGAGCCUCUUUUAUGGGGUGACUGCGUACCUUUUGUAUAAUGGGUCAGCGACUUAUAUUCUGUAGCAAGGUUAACCGUAUAGGGGAGCCGGAGGGAAACCGAGUCUUAACCGGGCGUUAAGUUGCAGGGUAUAGACCCGAAACCCGGUGAUCUAGCCAUGGGCAGGUUGAAGGUUGGGUAACACUAACUGGAGGACCGAACCGACUAAUGUUGAAAAAUUAGCGGAUGACCUGUGGCUGGGGGUGAAAGGCCAAUCAAACCGGGAGAUAGCUGGUUCUCCCCGAAAGCUAUUUAGGUAGCGCCUCGUGAAUUCAUCUCCGGGGGUAGAGCACUGUUUCGGCUAGGGGGCCAUCCCGGCUUACCAACCCGAUGCAAACUGCGAAUACCGGAGAAUGUUAUCACGGGAGACACACGGCGGGUGCUAACGUCCGUCGUGAAGAGGGAAACAACCCAGACCGCCAGCUAAGGUCCCAAAGUCAUGGUUAAGUGGGAAACGAUGUGGGAAGGCCCAGACAGCCAGGAUGUUGGCUUAGAAGCAGCCAUCAUUUAAAGAAAGCGUAAUAGCUCACUGGUCGAGUCGGCCUGCGCGGAAGAUGUAACGGGGCUAAACCAUGCACCGAAGCUGCGGCAGCGACGCUGAUGCGUUGUUGGGUAGGGGAGCGUUCUGUAAGCCUGCGAAGGUGGCCUGUGAGGGUUGCUGGAGGUAUCAGAAGUGCGAAUGCUGACAUAAGUAACGAUAAAGCGGGUGAAAAGCCCGCUCGCCGGAAGACCAAGGGUUCCUGUCCAACGUUAAUCGGGGCAGGGUGAGUCGACCCCUAAGGCGAGGCCGAAAGGCGUAGUCGAUGGGAAACGGGUUAAUAUUCCCGUACUUGGUGUUACUGCGAAGGGGGGACGGAGAAGGCUAUGUUGGCCGGGCGACGGUUGUCCCGGUUUAAGCGUGUAGGUGUGUGUUCCAGGUAAAUCCGGUUCACUUUAACACUGAGGCGUGACGACGAGGCACUACGGUGCUGAAGCAACAAAUGCCCUGCUUCCAGGAAAAGCCUCUAAGCAUCAGGUAACAUCAAAUCGUACCCCAAACCGACACAGGUGGUCAGGUAGAGAAUACCAAGGCGCUUGAGAGAACUCGGGUGAAGGAACUAGGCAAAAUGGUGCCGUAACUUCGGGAGAAGGCACGCUGACAUGUAGGUGAAGUGAUUUACUCAUGGAGCUGAAGUCAGUCGAAGAUACCAGCUGGCUGCAACUGUUUAUUAAAAACACAGCACUGUGCAAACACGAAAGUGGACGUAUACGGUGUGACGCCUGCCCGGUGCCGGAAGGUUAAUUGAUGGGGUCAGCGCAAGCGAAGCUCCUGAUCGAAGCCCCGGUAAACGGCGGCCGUAACUAUAACGGUCCUAAGGUAGCGAAAUUCCUUGUCGGGUAAGUUCCGACCUGCACGAAUGGCGUAAUGAUGGCCAGGCUGUCUCCACCCGAGACUCAGUGAAAUUGAACUCGCUGUGAAGAUGCAGUGUACCCGCGGCAAGACGGAAAGACCCCGUGAACCUUUACUAUAGCUUGACACUGAACAUUGAGCCUUGAUGUGUAGGAUAGGUGGGAGGCUUUGAAGUGUGGACGCCAGUCUGCAUGGAGCCGACCUUGAAAUACCACCCUUUAAUGUUUGAUGUUCUAACGUGGACCCGUUACCCGGGUUGCGGACAGUGUCUGGUGGGUAGUUUGACUGGGGCGGUCUCCUCCUAAAGAGUAACGGAGGAGCACGAAGGUUGGCUAAUCCUGGUCGGACAUCAGGAGGUUAGUGCAAUGGCAUAAGCCAGCUUGACUGCGAGCGUGACGGCGCGAGCAGGUGCGAAAGCAGGUCAUAGUGAUCCGGUGGUUCUGAAUGGAAGGGCCAUCGCUCAACGGAUAAAAGGUACUCCGGGGAUAACAGGCUGAUACCGCCCAAGAGUUCAUAUCGACGGCGGUGUUUGGCACCUCGAUGUCGGCUCAUCACAUCCUGGGGCUGAAGUAGGUCCCAAGGGUAUGGCUGUUCGCCAUUUAAAGUGGUACGCGAGCUGGGUUUAGAACGUCGUGAGACAGUUCGGUCCCUAUCUGCCGUGGGCGCUGGAGAACUGAGGGGGGCUGCUCCUAGUACGAGAGGACCGGAGUGGACGCAUCACUGGUGUUCGGGUUGUCAUGCCAAUGGCACUGCCCGGUAGCUAAAUGCGGAAGAGAUAAGUGCUGAAAGCAUCUAAGCACGAAACUUGCCCCGAGAUGAGUUCUCCCUGAGACUUAGAGUCUCCUGAAGGAACGUUGAAGACGACGACGUUGAUAGGCCGGGUGUGUAAGCGCAGCGAUGCGUUGAGCUAACCGGUACUAAUGAACCGUGAGGCUUAACCUU